ensembl:lncRNA
ACCACCACCACCAUCUCUAUCAGGUGGACAGAGCAGAGAAGGCCAUCACCUGCCUGGUGGACAUCAAAGACACAAGAAGAGAAAGAGGGAUGAGCCCCUCUUGGGCAGGGUGAGGUUUUCUGAGGGAGGCACUCCUGUCACCCUGCUGGGCGUCUCAUCAGUGUCCACUCAUGCUGAGCUCUAGCGGAUCACUGGGAAGGCCUCAGGUGACAGAGACGGUGACCGUGAGCUCUGUGACUGCUUCAUGUGGUUAGCUUCACAAGAUUUCCUGAGUUACAUCUGAGGAAACCAGAAGCUCAGACGGGGAAAGUGGCUUGCCUAAAUAACCCAGCUGGUCA